UCCGAAGGGUUGGAGCUCCAAAGAUUGAAUGAAAUAAAUGUGCGAUUUAAGCACCUACAAAAUAUAGUCCAUGCGGAAGCUGAAAUCAUGGCAUACUUUAUGCUGGAAACUAAAACAAUUUGCAGCACAAGAAGGUUCUUCUUGUAGAAUGGCUUCAAAGGGCUAGUACAAAGAAAGUAUUACCUAAAACCAGAACCGGCACCUAUUUCCGUGAAGAAGGGGCGACUAUUCGGCGACAGGAUGUGUGGUGGCGGCUGUUAUCCUUGCUGCAGCCUUUGCUGUGGACCCUGUUGUGGACUCUGCUGUGAACCGUGCUGUGGACCGUGCUGUGGACCCUGUUGUGGACCCUGCUGUGGACCCUGCUGCAAUCCGUGCUGCGGUCCGUGCUGCAGCCCCUGCUGCAGCCCCUGCUGUGGACCCUGCUGCAGUCCGUGCUGCAGCCCCUGCUGCUAUCCCUGCUGCUCCCCCUGCUGCUAUCCCUGCUCCUAUCCCUGCUGCUAUCCCUGUGGGGCCCUCGGCGGUGGCUGCUGUUCAGGCUGUUGAUGAUGUUCCACGGCCAUUUCUUUAGAAAGAAAUCCAGGUGCUGGAUUCUGGUUCAGCCAAAUUCAGCCAAAAUCAUA